rnacentral:rRNA from 1 species
AUACGUAGGUGACAAGCGUUAUCCGGAUUUACUGGGCGUAAAGGGCGCGUAGGCGGCGCUUCAAGUCGUCUGUCAAAUGGGAGGGCUUAACCCUUUUUCGCAGACGAAACUGGAGAGCUUGAGAAGCAGAGAGGCAAACAGAAUUCCUGGUGUAGCGGUGAAAUGCGUAGAUAUCAGGAAGAAUACCAGUGGCGAAGGCGGUUUGCUGGCUGCAUACUGACGCUGAAGCGCGAAAGCCAGGGGAGCAAACGGGAUUAGAUACCCCGGUAGUCCUGGCAGUAAACGAUGUAUGCUGGGUGUGAGACUAGCGAUAGUUUCGUGCCGAAGUUAACGCGAUAAGCAUACCGCCUGGGGAGUACGGUCGCAAGAUUGAAACUCAAAGGAAUUGACGGGG